AUUGAACGCUGGCGGCAGGCUUAACACAUGCAAGUCGAGCGGAUGAGUGGAGCUUGCUCCAUGAUUCAGCGGCGGACGGGUGAGUAAUGCCUAGGAAUCUGCCUGGUAGUGGGGGACAACGUUUCGAAAGGAACGCUAAUACCGCAUACGUCCUACGGGAGAAAGUGGGGGAUCUUCGGACCCCACGCUAUCAGAUGAGCCUAGGUCGGAUUAGCUAGUUGGUGAGGUAAAGGCUAACCAAGGCGACGAUCCGUAACUGGUCUGAGAGGAUGAUCAGUCACACUGGAACUGAGACACGGUCCAGACUCCUACGGGAGGCAGCAGUGGGGAAUAUUGGACAAUGGGCGAAAGCCUGAUCCAGCCAUGCCGCGUGUGUGAAGAAGGUCUUCGGAUUGUAAAGCACUUUAAGUUGGGAGGAAGGGCAGUAAGUUAAUGCCUUGCUGUUUUGACGUUACCAACAGAAUAAGCACCGGCUAACUUCGUGCCAGCCGCCGCAGUAAUAC
rnacentral:rRNA from 1 species